CCAACGGCUCUCCUUAGAGCCAUCGAGUUAAUAAACCAAACUUCAG
rfam:Anisakis simplex genome assembly, scaffold: ASIM_scaffold0000187